UACGGAGGGGGCUAGCGUUGUUCGGAAUUACUGGGCGUAAAGGGCUCGUAGGUGGCCAACUAAGUCAGACGUGAAAUCCCUCGGCUUAACCUGGGAACUGCGUCGGAUACUGGCCGGCUUGAAUUCGGGAGAGGGAUGCAGAAUUCCAGGUGUAGCGGUGAAAUGCGUAGAUAUCUGGAGGAAUACCGGUGGCGAAGGCGGCAUCCUGGACCGACAUUGACGCUGAACGGCGAAAGCUAGGGGAGCAAACGGG
rnacentral:rRNA from 1 species